GAAGCCGUUGUUCCUUCCACCCAAGAUGGCAGGAGGGAGCAUCACGUCCUAGACCCUGAACACCUGAAUAUCCAGCAAUAGGGGAUUCAAGUGAAUCAUGACGUAUUUCACAGCACCAAAGACCGUGCUUGUGGCAAGGAUGUGCUCCAUGGGAAAUGCCUUUUUCACUCAUAUCCUGGGUAAUGUCUAAAUCUGCACAUAUAAUACGAUAAUUCUAGUUUUUAGAGAGAGUGUAGGUGUGUGUGUACAAUGUAUAUGUGAAGGACUAGAUGGAGAAAACAGAAACUCUAUCUAUAAUUGUCUCCGAGAGCUGGAAUUAUGAUUGAGUGUUCACUUCACCUGUGUCUUUAUGCAUCAUCCAAAAUUUCUCCAGUGAUCAUUUAAGACUUUUAAGGUAAGAAAAACACUUAACAUUUUAAACAGUCAUAGAACUGUUACCUAUGUAUUUUUUCCCAGUAUCACACAGCUGCUAGAAGCUAAUAGAAACUCCAGAGACACUGGAAACUGUCUCUUAAACCCCUAGCCCCGAUUACGUCCCACGUGAGGUCUACAAAUAAACUGAUUGAGGAAGCAUGUAAGGUAUUUAAUAAGCUGCCGGUAUAUAUUCCCGUUCUAUGCCAGGCAGGCACUGAGCUAAACACUUUCUUGCGUAUCAUCUCAAAUUCUCCCAGAACCCUGUAAGGUUUUUCUCCCCAUUUUAUGGAAGAGAAAACUGAAGCGUCGGGAGGUUAGCUGACUGCUCAGAGUCCCACGAGGGCAGAGCUGGAUUCGAAGUCGGGCCUGCCUGGCUUCACGGACCGCCUUCCCUCGCCACGGCCCGCUGGUGAAGGUGUUGACUGUUUUUCCUCUGACACGAGCAGCCUGGGACUGCUCUACAGGCCUGAAACGUCCUUUUUCCUUAGUUUGCUCCCAAGGCAGAGGAUAGAUGUCCCCCAGAUCGGGACUGUCUCAUCUCCCUACCGUCAGCCAGCCCCAGCGUGUAGCUGGUGGGCGUGGAGACUGCCACUCCUCCACACCCUGUCUCUGGCAGGACAGAGCCAAAGAACACCCCUCCUCGGGAAAAGCUUAACCCCAAGAACACAGUUUUCUCCUAGGGAGUCCUGGGCUUGAAUCUGUCAUGCGCUGUGUGACCUUGGCCAGGUCGCCUAACCGGAAGCUCUGCCUCCUUCUGUGCAUUGCCGCUGUAACCGAACUCAAGGGGUCGCUGCUUGGGGUGCAUCCAAUUGAACACGACCCGAGGAAGUGUUGAAAGCAAAGACCUUUUAUUACUUGUCACAAGUAAGGAGACAGGGAGAUAGCUCUCAAAGCACUGUCUCCCUGUGGGGUUAGGGCAGGAAGCUUUUAUGCAGUGUGCUGGAGGGCAAGGGCAGGGAGCUGGGCACAUUAAGGAACUGAUGCAUUUUCUGUUUCUUAGGCACUUUGGUUCAGCUGCACAUGCUUAUUAGCAUGUCGACGUGCUAGUCCAUACAUUGUAUAUUCACAAAAAAUGGCAGAAAACCCCACCCGUAGGAGAUCUUAGCAUUAGAAUGAGUGAAAGGUAACGUUAGGGCAGCUCAUAGGGCUUCUGUGCAGGCCCCAAUCUCCAGCAUGGCUCGAACUGGCUCACUCAAGGGGUGUCUCUCUAGUGGGGUACCUGGCCUUGACCUCUCCUUGACGGGAGCUGUUUAUUUCCCUGCCUUUGCCCCUGCCCCCUCUCCCUCCCGCUGACAGAUUUCAGUCCCCUGACGUGAGUACGUCUCUGUUGUCACCUAACACUGCCAGCUAGACAGAUGUGGUCCGAUUCGGUCAACAUUCAUGGAGUAUCUGCUGUGUGCCAGACACGGUGCACGUGAGACUGACAGCAGGUGCACUUGUGAGCAGAGCAUGAUUCACAGAGCUGAUAGAGUUGUCCCGUCGCGGUGUUGUACGCCUGACACUAACGUGACGCGGUGUGUCAACCAUACUUCGGUAAAAAGAAAUGAAGAGAGGAGACGUGCUCCCGGGACUCAAGGUCACGUACGCAGCAGCGCCAGGUCUCUGCCAGCACGCAUUUAAGCCUCAUGAAGAGUGGCUGGAAAACCGGGCCCCCUGAGAGCACGCACGAUGGUUAGCAAUGUUGACGAGCAACUGCAUCUGCUUGAGGGUGUAUGUUGCGGCAAUUAAAGAUAAUUAUGACAACUUCAGAAAA